rnacentral:rRNA from 1 species
GGGUUGUGAGGUUAAGCGACUAAGCGUACACGGUGGAUGCCCUGGCAGUCAGAGGCGAUGAAGGACGUGCUAAUCUGCGAUAAGCGUCGGUAAGGUGAUAUGAACCGUUGUAACCGGCGAUUUCCGAAUGGGGAAACCCAGUGUGAUUCGUCACACUAUCAUUAACUGAAUCCAUAGGUUAAUGAGGCGAACCGGGGGAACUGAAACAUCUAAGUACCCCGAGGAAAAGAAAUCAACCGAGAUUCCCCCAGUAGCGGCGAGCGAACGGGGAGCAGCCCAGAGCCUGAAUCAGUGUGUGUGUUAGUGGAAGCGUCUGGAAAGGCGCGCGAUACAGGGUGACAGCCCCGUACACAAAAAUGCACAUAUUGUGAGCUCGA